rnacentral:rRNA from 1 species
CAUACCUCUGGUGUACCAGUUGUCGUGCCAACGGCAUAGCUGGGUAGCUAUGUGUGGACGGGAUAAGUGCUGAAAGCAUCUAAGCAUGAAGCCCCCCUCAAGAUGAGAUUUCCCAACUUCGGUUAUAAGAUCCCUCAAAGAUGAUGAGGUUAAUAGGUUCGAGGUGGAAGCAUGGUGACAUGUGGAGCUGACGAAUACUAAUCGAUCGAAGACUUAAUCA